UCGGAAACCUCUAGAACAUAGGAACGACGUCGAUGGAGGCGCCACCGGCGAUGGCAUCGGAGGGGGGACAGCGCGGCGCGGGGGGCAGCCACGUACGAGGAUCGCGGGCCGCUCACACACCUUACCGAUCAGCUGUGAAAAUUGUACGCGUCGCGCGCCGUUUAAUUAUAUAAUUUGUUACAAAUCCAAGAAACUCCAAGAAAUAUAUCGACGAGAACGGAUAACUGUGGCUACGGAUCGGUAAAUAGUGUGUCGUUCCAAUUAAUCAUUGCCCUUUAUCACUUCUUAAAUUCUUCCCGCUUUGUUGGCCAUUUAAAUCUGUUCCAUUUUUUUUCCCCAUAUUUAUUAGUCAUCGCAUUCAUUUCGUUGCACAUAUUUCAAGCCUGGUUAUCGCUCAAGCCUAUUAUUGUAGGUGCAUCGCUGCAUAAUUAGUAGCAGGCAAAAAUAAGAAACCUGUUUACACGGAUACGUGUUAGCUUGACCGCUAAUUCACUCAAGGUCAACAUCUGUCGCUUUGCAAUUUAUUCAACGCAGUGCUUGCUCAUUAGUUACGAAUUAACGUAAUUAUUAUUUAUUUGAAUAAUGGACUCUAAACUUAAAGAAUUAGUUAAGAAACGUGCAAGCUGUAAAGCUAAACUUACGCUUUUCAGCAAUUAUUUAAAUGUAGUCCUUUCUUGUUCACGAUUAAGUGAUUUACAAGUAACAGAACUGGAAACCCGACUUGAUAAAAUGGAUUUAUUAUACAAUGACUAUGAUAAAAUACAGGGGGAUAUCGAGCUGCUGAUGGAGGACUCCGCCGAGGCAUUGGCUGAUCGCGAAGCCUUUCAAAACCAAUACUUCUCCUUGGUGUCAUCGGCGCGCGAGGUGCGACGUCAGCAUAGCGAGCGAAGAGCCAGCGUGUUGCAGAGAACCAGAUGGCAUGCGUCCACAGGCGAAAUUAAGCUGAAUCAGUUAGUUCUGAUCAGAGAGAAAACGCAACCACCACUACAUUGGCUAUUAGGCCGUAUCGUCAAGGUGUUUCCUGGUGCUGACGGCAUCACGAGGGUGGCGGAAAUCAAAACCAAGAAGGGCAACAUCACAAGGGCCUUCAACAACAUAUGUCCUUUACCUAUUGAAGACGAUGUUUCAACCCGGGCAGGAUGUUCGGAAACCUCUAGAACAUAGGAACGACGUCGAUGGAGGCGCCACCGGCGAUGGCAUCGGAGGGGGGACAGCGCGGCGCGGGGGGCAGCCACGUACGAGGAUCGCGGGCCGCUCACACACCUUACCGAUCAGCUGUGAAAAUUGUACGCGUCGCGCGCCGUUUAAUUAUAUAAUUUGUUACAAAUCAUCCGUUGGAAUAAACCAGUACCUAUAUUUCGGAAA